AUUGAACGCUGGCGGCAUGCCUUACACAUGCAAGUCGAACGGCAGCACGGGUGCUUGCCCCUGGUGGCGAGUGGCGAACGGGUGAGUAAUACAUCGGAACAUGUCCUGUAGUGGGGGAUAGCCCGGCGAAAGCCGGAUUAAUACCGCAUACGAUCUACGGAUGAAAGCGGGGGCCCUUCGGGCCUCGCGCUAUCGGGUUGGCCGAUGGCUGAUUAGCUAGUUGGUGGGGUAAAGGCCUACCAAGGCGACGAUCAGUAGCUGGUCUGAGAGGACGACCAGCCACACUGGGACUGAGACACGGCCCAGACUCCUACGGGAGGCAGCAGUGGGGAAUUUUGGACAAAGGGCGAAAGCCUGAUCCAGCAAUGCCGCGUGUGUGAAGAAGGCCUUCGGGUUGUAAAGCACUUUUGUCCGGAAAGAAAUCCUUGGCCCUAAUACGGUCGGGGGAUGACGGUACCGGAAGAAUAAGCACCGGCUAACUACGUG
rnacentral:rRNA from 1 species